rnacentral:rRNA from 1 species
AGCAGCCGCGGUAAUUCCAGCUCCAAUAGCGUAUAUUAAAGUUGUUGCAGUUAAAAAGCUCGUAGUUGAAUUUUAGGCUUGACCGGGCGGUCCGUCUCUGGCGAGUACUGUCCUGUUGUCGGGUCUAUCCUUCUGGUGAGCCGGUAUGUCCUUAAUUGGGUGUGUCGGGGAACCAGGACCAUUACCUUGAAAAAAUUAGAGUGUUUAAAGCGGGCUUUUGCUUGAAUAGAUUAGCAUGGAAUAAUAGAAUAGGACGUUGGUUCUAUUUUGUUGGUCUAGGACCACCGUAAUGAUUAAUAGGGAUAGUUGGGGGCAUUAGUAUUCAAUUGUCAGAGGUGAAACUCUUGGAUUUAUUGAAGACUAACUACUGCGAAAGCAUUUGCCAAGGAUGUUUUCAUUAAUCAAGAACGAAAGUUAGGGGAUCGAAGACGAUCAGAUACCGUCGUAGUCUUAACCAUAAAACUAUGCCGACUAGGAAUCGGGCGACGUUAUUUUCAUGACUCGCUCGGCGCCUUAUGGA